UCUGAAUCAUUUUCCAGCCUGAUAUUCAUGGUUCCAGUAGCAUGUGGCCUGUUUCCACAGAGGUGUUCUUUGAGAACGACUACGUUGGAGUGGCUGGAGCCAGAAAUGUAUCACAAACUGAAGGAGGCCUGCGCUGGAAGGGAGGUACCCAAAUAUGUGUACUUCAACAAAGGCCUGUGAAGUUCAGUGUUGUAUUUCCAUCCAAUGUUCAUACUCUGCUCUGCACUGCGGGGUAUGGUUUACAGUUUGCUCUAGAGUUACGCUAUUCACUUACCUCAGAAAUAAAAUUAAUUAAUAAUAUA